rnacentral:lncRNA from 1 species
AUCCUAGGACCUCUCGGAGUCCUAGAGUUCUCUAUAAAAGGACCUUUCCCUCCCUUGAAGCCGAUCAUCGGCCCUCUUCCCCUCUUUUCCUCUCCGAUUUUUUCGAAUUAGAGCCGCGGAUCCUUGCUUCGUUUUCACCGUGAUUGCUCACCGGUAGGGUCACCGGAGGUCGAGGUGAGUUCCCCUUCUUUUCCUCUCUUCCUUCCCCUUCCUCCC